rnacentral:rRNA from 1 species
GACGAACGCUGGCGGCGUGCCUAAUACAUGCAAGUCGAGCGGUGAAGGUUGGCUCUUGUACCGACUGCAUGAGCAGCGAACGGGUGAGUAACGCGAGGGUACUCUGCCUUUGAGCGGGGGACACCAUUUGGAAACGAAUUCUAAUACCCGAUAAGAACUUUAAACACAAGUUUUAAGUUAGAAAGAUGUAAUUGCUUCACUUAAUGAUGAUUCGCCGUUGUAUUAGGUAGUUGGUUAGGUAAACGCUCAACAAGGCGAGGGCUCAUAGCCGACCUGAGGAGGAGGAUGGCCAACCUGGGACGGGGACACGGCCCAAACGCCUAAGGGAAGGAGCCGUAGGGGAACGUUGGCAAUGGGGGGAAGGCUGAACGAGGAACGCCGCGUGAUGGAAGAAAGUUUUCGGGUCGGGAAACUCGGUUGGUAGGGAAGAAAGUGGGUUAGAGUGGAAAGCUCCUCAAGUGACGGUAACUACACAAGAAGGAACGGCUAACUACGUG